rnacentral:rRNA from 1 species
AUACGGAGGGUCCAAGCGUUAUCCGGAAUCAUUGGGUUUAAAGGGUUCGUAGGCGGGUCAAUAAGUCAGAGGUGAAAUCUUGCAGCUUAACUGUAAAAUUGCCUUUGAAGCUGUUGACCUUGAAUUACUGUGAAGUGGUUAGAAUAUGUAGUGUAGCGGUGAAAUGCUUAGAGAUUACAUAGAAUACCGAUUGCGAAGGCAGAUCACUAACAGUAUAUUGACGCUGAUGAACGAAAGCGUGGGUAGCGAACGGAAUUAGAAACCCGGGUAGUCC